CCUUCGGGUGGCAGCAGUGAGGAAUAUUGGUCAAUGGCCGGAAGGCUGAACCAGCCAAGUCGCGUGAGGGACGACUGCCCUAUGGGUUGUAAACCUCUUUUAUAAGGGAAGAAUAAAUGCUACGUGUAGCAUGAUGCCUGUACCUUAUGAAUAAGCAUCGGCUAACUCCGUGCCAGCAGCCGCGGUAAUACGGAGGAUGCGAGCGUUAUCCGGAUUUAUUGGGUUUAAAGGGUGCGCAGGCGGAGGCACAAGUCAGCGGUAAAAUCGCGGGGCUCAACCCCGCUCCGCCGUUGAAACUGUGUCCCUUGAGUGCGCGAAGGGUAGGCGGAAUGCGUGGUGUAGCGGUGAAAUGCAUAGAUAUCACGCAGAACUCCGAUCGCGAAGGCAGCCUACCGGCGCGCAACUGACGCUCAUGCACGAAAGCGUGGGUAUCGAACAGGAUUAGAUACCCUAGUAGUC
rnacentral:rRNA from 1 species